ensembl:lncRNA
AUCAAAGCUUCCUCUCCCCUUUUUCUUCAAGCUCUUCUCAUCUUCAAGGUUGCAGCUGGGUAGGCGUACCUGCCUCGCUGUUCCCACAUAAUGGAUUGCAGUUGGGGGUUCGGUGCCUUGCUCAAGGGCACCUCAGUCAUGGCAUUGAGGGUGGAGAGAGUGCUGUACAUUCAUUCCCCCCACCUACAAUUCCUGCCGGCCCGAGACUCGAACUCACAACCCUUGGAUUACAAGUCUGACUCUCUAACCAUUAGGCCACGACUUCCACACUUGUGUCAUUUGGCUUGUCGUAUUCCAUCUACACUCCCUUGGUACACAUCAAAGUCACACAGCAUGCCAGAGAUUCCAGUUCUCACCCACAGUUUGAAUCCCCAUGGGUGUGGCUUGCCACGCAUAUACUGCUUGAUGUUACAGGCUAUUUUGACUACCACUCUGGCCCAUGGAGUUUCAAAUACCACAUACAAUUUAUUCCUGUGUUUAUUUAUGGUCUAAGCAAAACUAAGUACAAAUUUAACAGAAAAGCACAUUUAGAACUUAGUUACAAUGAAUCUUCUAACAGUUUAAGGCCACGUCCACACGAAGCCGGUGCAUUCCCUAUCCGAUCAUUUUUUUUCCUCGUUCUAAAAAAAAAUUCCGUAAACACGGCGUCGUCUCAAGAAAUAUCGGCGUACACACAAACCACUGAAACCGACUGAAAACGGUGUAGUAUAUAUGCCAGACCAGUAUGGGGCGCUGUAAUUCUGCCACAGAUAUACACUAUAUACGGAGAAGAAGACUUUGAGCAUGCGCAUAACCUUGUGCGCUGUAUACGAACCAAGAAGAAGACGACGAAGAUGGCGAACGCAACAACUUCAAGAGCAAGAGCGGAGUCUUUCGUAUGGACUGACGACGAAGUCGAACUACUACUUAGAGUCACACUCGACUACAAGUCCACUAAGCUCCAAGAAAACAUUGACUGGGAGUCGUGUCACUCUAAAUAUUGUGAUAUAACGGACGCGUUUCAGGCACAGUAUCUGAGGGAGCUAACCGAGAAGGAUUUCCCUCACGAUGCUAGCAUGGUCUCAAAAGCCCAAGUCACCGCAAAGUUGAAAAAUAUACGCAGCAAAUACAGGCAUGCGGUUGACACAGGGCGUCGAAGUGGUAAAGGACGGGUAGUACUCAUAUUUUAUGAGCUUUGCGAGGAGAUCUGGGGUGGGUCGCCUGCUACACGCUCCAUCGACACCGGCAUCGAGACAGGUGACCUGGAAGAGUCGUCUACAUCGACAUCGACAGAGGAGCUGCCUUCCUAUUCUCCAAACUCCACUGAAUCCCUCGACUGUCUUCCAUCUGCGGUUGUAAAGCAGCGCCGGGAUUUGCUCCAGGCAAAGUUGAACAGCCAUAGAGGAGACAGGCUGAAGAGGAAGGUUCCCACCGAUCCGGCAGAGGAGGACCUUAAAAUAAAGAGGAUGUUGGAGUUGAUGGAGGACUCUGCUAGACGCAACUCCGACAACAUGCUGCAGAUAAAUACAAACAUUGCUAACAUUACCAGCACAAUUCAGGAGGGUUUUUGCUUUAUGAGGGAAUUGUUAUUCCAACGGCAAUUUACACCCCCCCCCCACAGCAGCAGUGGUCAAUUCCAAGGGCACCCACCAUCAUUCAUGAACACAACACCACACCCUACUACACCAGCCUUCCUGCACACACCUCGGCCCGAUGAACCAGCAAACCAACCUCGACAGUACCGCCCUGAAUGUUACACACCUACACCACAUGUCACCCCACAUCAGCAAACAUCAUUUUAGUACAGACGUGCACUGCUGCAAGAUGACACAGAGUGACUGCCCUGUUGCACUAUAUAAUUCUUGAUUUUAUAUUGUUUGCACUGCACUUCAGUUCUCUGCAUGGUUGCACUUUAUACAGUUAAUAACACAAAACAGUUGUAGUUGACAUGUUGUAUAUAGUUAUUGUGUUUUGUGCACUGUUGCACUUUAUACCUGUUCAAUAUUACCUGUUUUUUUCAAAUGGUUCUUUGACCUAAAUAUUUAUUUUCCAGUAAAAACAAGUUCUCGAAUUCUUGCAGUCAUUUAUUUUCACUAGACAUAUUCAAUACAAAACUUUCAAAAUAAUCAUUAGUACAUUUUCAAAAAGGUAAAUACUUUAAAAAAAACCUGAACAAAAUAGAAAAAAAACUUGAUGGACAGCAUUUUUAAGGGUCAAGGUACUUUGUGAGUACUCUCCUCACUCUCUUUCCCUCUCCUUCAUUACAGUCUGAGAGGUAGUUGUUGCAUUGUGUAGGAGGCUGUAAGUCUUUAUCACCUUGCAUCGUUCCCAACACAGUGUGUUCAGCCACAGUCUCCUUACAGUUUUCACAAAAAUUGUGGAGAACAAAGCAGGCGUAAAUGACAAAGGGCAGGUCCUGCAAGUUGAUGUCCAUAGGCCUUUUCAGUGCAGCAAAUCUGGCUUUGAGACGACCAAAAGCACACUCAAUGACCAUCCGUGCCCUACACAAACAUAGCCCAAAGUACUGUUCUUGAGGUGUGGAGCCACCGUUUGCAUAUUCCUGCAUCAAGUAAGGCAGCAGAGGGUAGGCUGGGUCACCAAGAAGGUAAAGUGGUAUGUCCUCCUCGUUGUCCACAAUCUGUUUUUUCAGAGGAGGGAUCUGGCCAGUCUUAAAGUACAGGUUGAGCUUUGAAUUAGCAAAAACCUGUGCAUCGUGUACACUCCCGGGCCACUUUAUCACAACAUCCAUAAAUCUGUACUUAUAAUCACAGACCACCUGUACAUUGAGAGAAUGUUUGCCUU